rnacentral:rRNA from 1 species
GACGAACCGUGCGACCGUUGUUCGGAAUCACUGGGCUUAAAGGGCGCGUAGGCGGGCUGUCAAGUUUGGGGUGAAAUCCCGCGGCUCAACCGUGGAACUGCCUCAAAUACUGACGGCCUCGAGGAAGGUAGGGGCAUGCGGAACUGUAGGUGGAGCGGUGAAAUGCGUUGAUAUCUACAGGAACUCCGGUGGCGAAAGCGGCGUGCUGGACCUUUUCUGACGCUGAGGCGCGAAAGCUAGGGGAGCAAACGGG